rnacentral:sRNA from 13 species
UGACGCGUGGAUUUAUCAGGUGUUCUAGAACCUAGACCAGUUGAUCGUGUGUAGUUUAUUCAGUGUCAAGAGACUUAUUGACACACGUAGUGUAGUUUGUAUUUUGAAACGAAUGUCUGUAGACUUAUGUGUAUUGUAUUCAAACCAAUGUAUGAAAAGUGUGUAUCAAAUACAAGAGGAUGUGCAGCAGGAAACACAUUUGUGUACAUUCAGUGUCUCCUAGAAACAAAGGGAUGCCACUCUUGUAUAAACGUGUAAUUGAGUUACUUUUGAGGUAAAAAAUGUUUUUUUGAAAUAACAAAAAUAUUGAGACUAAGAACACAGUGCAUUGACAUUCUUGAGAAUCAGCGUGUCCGGCGAUUACAUAUCAUGUUUAAAUUAAAUCCCUUUGUCAAGGGAAAGUCCAAAUCAGCGGAAGAUAUUCAAAUUAUCAUUCACUUGGCUGAGGAUGAAAUCAAAGAUGACCGGCUUCCCACUAUUCCAAUGAAGUCAUGUCAAUCUCCACCGAGGAAGAGUCUUCAAGAAAGUUGAUGGACAGACCAAACGAGACAGCAGUCUCGGCUAAUUCAUGGACGUCAAGUUGAAGCUCCUGUUCGGUGUGUGCAAGAAGGGCGCAAUCUUCCGCAUAGAGCAGCUCAGUAGCAAUCAUCUCCUUAUGUACAGGAGACCAGACGCCAUAUGUUAAAUAUGCUGCAAUCCGUGCGGAACUUGAUGCUCUCAUUGAGCUGAUAGACCAUCAUUGUAUCUGAUUUGACUUUUUUUUUACUCUCAUGCAGUUGCUUCAGAAUAGCGACGAAUCUUGGAGGAUAUUUGAACCGAGACAGAAUCCUCCUGUGUCUUGUUUGGGUCUCUUGAUUCAAAAUGCAGUUUUGAAGGACCUGUUCGGCAUACUCUGGUGACACGCCACAAGGGCUAAUUUCACUAGUCCCAAUUUUUAGCUUCGGAACAUGUGUUGUCUCGUUCAGAGUUGCUGCCCAUCGAGCGCCUCCCCAGGUGGCGGGUACGGGAAUACCCUCUAGAUAUGCUGGGUACCAAAGAAAUAUAAUAGUAAAAAAUCAAACCUUUUUUUACUUGCAGGAAUUGGGUGGAUCCAAAAAAGAUAGGACACACUACCC